GGAUGCGAUCAUACCAGCACUAAAGCACCGGAUCCCAUCAGAACUCCGAAGUUAAGUGUGCUUGGGCGAGAGUAGUACUAGGAACAUGCGUACGUGUGCG
rnacentral:rRNA from 14 species